ACCGUGGUGGCCCAAAGGCAGAGGCAUCCCCCUCAAAAAGGGAAUGGUGCGGGUUCGACUCCCGCUCACGGUA
rnacentral:tRNA from 1 species